GACGAACGCUGGCGGCGUGCUUAACACAUGCAAGUCGAACGGAAAGGCCCUGCUUUUGUGGGGUGCUCGAGUGGCGAACGGGUGAGUAACACGUGAGUAACCUGCCCUUGACUUUGGGAUAACUUCAGGAAACUGGGGCUAAUACCGGAUAGGAGCUCCUGCUGCAUGGUGGGGGUUGGAAAGUUUCGGCGGUUGGGGAUGGACUCGCGGCUUAUCAGCUUGUUGGUGGGGUAGUGGCUUACCAAGGCUUUGACGGGUAGCCGGCCUGAGAGGGUGACCGGCCACAUUGGGACUGAGAUACGGCCCAGACUGCUACGGGAGGCAGCAGUGGGGAAUAUUGCACAAUGGGCGGAAGCGUGAUACAGCAACGCCGGGUGCGGGAUGACGGCCUUCGGGUUGUAAACCGCUGUCGCCUGUGACGAAGCGUGAGUGACGGUAAUGGGUAAAGAAGCACCGGCUAACUACGUG
rnacentral:rRNA from 1 species